GCCGGCUUAGCUCAGUUGGUAGAGCAACUGACUUGUAAUCAGUGGGUCACCAGUUCGACUCCGGUAGCCGGCACCA
rnacentral:tRNA from 1 species